rnacentral:rRNA from 4 species
CACACGACUCUCGGCAACGGAUAUCUCGGCUCUCGCAUCGAUGAAGAACGUAGCAAAAUGCGAUACCUGGUGUGAAUUGCAGAAUCCCGCGAACCAUCGAGUUUUUGAACGCAAGUUGCGCCCGAGGCCUUCUGGCCGAGGGCACACCUGCCUGGGCGUCACGC